CAGGAACCGCCGCCUAAUCGCAACAACGAGCGAGCCGGGGAACCACAUUUCUUCCGGGGUGAAUCCGCAUCCGCGGUAGGGAUUUCCUUCGUCCCGAACCCGUCAGCUAACCCGGCCGGCGGCCGACGGAAGGAAAU
rnacentral:sRNA from 1 species